AUGAUCCCAGAAAGAUAAACAUCCAAAUGCCUUUUGAAUGAGUGUAGAGUAGGUGCUUGCAUCGCCUCUGGAUGGAGUCUGUUCCAGAUCUUGGACACUCGGACUGUAAAGAAGUUUUUCCUUAUAUCAAGUCUGAAUCAGCCUUCUAGAAGCUUGUGGCCGUUAGACCUAGUAAUCCAUUUGGGGGUGCCCUGGUGAAC